GACGAACGCUGGCGGCGUGCCUAAUACAUGCAAGUUGAGCGCUGAAGGUUGGUACUUGUACCAACUGGAUGAGCAGCGAACGGGUGAGUAACGCGUGGGGAAUCUGCCUUUGAGCGGGGGACAACUUUUGGAAACGAAUGCUAAUACCGCAUAAAAACUUUAAACACAAGUUUUAAGUUUGAAAGAUGCAAUUGCAUCACUCAAAGAUGAUCCCGCGUUGUAUUAGCUAGUUGGUGAGGUAAAGGCUCACCAAGGCGAUGAUACAUAGCCGACCUGAGAGGGUGAUCGGCCACCUUGGGACUGAGACACGGCCCAAACUCCUAAGGGAGGCAGCAGUAGGGAAUCCUCGGCAAUGGACGAAAGUCUGACCGAGCAACGCCGCGUGAGUGAAGAAGGUUUUCGGAUCGUAAAACUCUGUUGGUAGAGAAGAACGUUGGUGAGAGUGGAAAGCUCAUCAAGUGACGGUAACUACCCAGAAAGGGACGGCUAACUACGUG
rnacentral:rRNA from 1 species